rnacentral:rRNA from 1 species
AUUGAAAGCUGGCGUCUUCGGCGUCCGCAUUGUAAUCUCAAGAAGUGUUUUCCGCUUCGGACCAAGCCUAAGUCCCCUGGAAAGGGGCAUCAUAGAGGGUGAUAAUCCCGUACAUGGCUUGGAGCGCCCGAGGCUUUGUGAUACGCUUUCUAAGAGUCGAGUUGUUUGGGAAUGCAGCUCAAAAUGGGUGGUAAAUGCCAUCUAAGGCUAAAUAUUGGGGAGAGACCGAUAGCGAACAAGUACAGUGAUGGAAAGAUGAAAAGAACUUUGAAAAGAGAGUUAAACAGUACGUGAAAUUGCCAAAAGGGAAGGGUAGGAGGUCAGAGAUGCGGCCUGGGAUUCAGCCUUGCUUUUGCUUGGUGUUUUUCCCAGAUUGCAGGCCAACGUCGGUUUUGGGCACUGGAGAAGGGUAGGAGGAACGUGGCACCCCUCGGGGUGUGUUAUAGCCUGCGUUGAUGCUGCCUGCCUAGACCGAGGACUGCGAUUUUAUCAAGGAUGCUGGCAUAAUGAUCCCAAACCGCCCGUCUUGAAACACGGACC